GGCACAGAGGCAAGAUGUGCUAAGGAACUACUGUCAUCACUAUGAGGGUUGAGAGUGGAAGUUAUAGACACCCCCAGGGAGCAGGCUGAGGGGACUUGAGCCAGAACAGUGCACAGGAAUACAAGAUUCUGAGCUGGGACGACUGGUGGAGCUGGGACGGGGCCUGCGGAUGGGAGGACCCCACUUUCCUGAGCAGCCAGCAGCCCCCGACUUCACUGAUCGUGCUGUGGGGUGCAGGAGAAGGUCCGAGUUUGUAAGAAACAUACUCAAGAGUUUGCGGCAGAAGAGGAAACAUUUUGGCAACUCACUGUUAAAUGGUUCAGGAAAAUGUCACAGGCACUCAACUUCUCCAUCAGGCUGCCAGUCUCGGCCUCUCUCUCCGCCUGUGCCUGCCUUGUUCCACUUGGGGCAAAUAUCACCUGGAUCCUGACAUCACCCAGUUUGGGGGACAUCUCCCUUUCCUGGAAAUGGGUCUCCUAGAAACGUAGGCUUCCCUGCCCCUCCUGUAGGAUGGGUGACAAUGUUGGCAUAUGAUUUACAAGGCAUGUUAUGAGACUCGGUUUCCCCAAGGGCUCCCGUUAGGAGAUACAGCCUGUGCAGAGUUGGGGAUCAAGAGGACAACCAAGAGGAGACAGCUGGGGGAGCCAGGAUGAGGACCUGCCUCAAGCCGAGGUCACUCACACAGAUCCAGACAGCAGGUACAGCAGGCAGCAGACCAGACACCAACCAGCACCUGUCCAGGACUGAAUCUGCCAAUGGCCCUAGACCCCAGGCCACCUGGUGAGUUCCCAGCCUCAAGUCUCAGGACCCCAGGCCCAAGCUGCGUCUCUGUCCCCAUCUCUCCCUGGAGCAGGUUGAGGCGUUGGUGUCCGGGCGCAGACACAGGCCUGUCAUGCAACUGCCGUGGGGCCUCAGGCAGCCGUGAGCUAGCUGGAGCCUCAGUGUCCCACACUUCAGACGGGACUGGGGUCCUGGCACCCUGGGCUGUCGUGGGUAGAUGCCGAGGUGGGGAAGUCACCGGACAGCCCACUGGAAGUCACCAGACUUGCCUACCUUUGGUGGGGACCUUCUGCCCCUCAUGGCAUCUGCCUCUGUCACUUGUGUCUGCUCAGCUCCUGCCAUGGCUUUGAGUUCAGAGAGGGGUGGACGGGACUAGGCACAGCUCACCCUCGUGCCCUCACGCAGCCUCUCUGACCUUCCC